rnacentral:lncRNA from 1 species
CUGCACUCAGAUGCCAAAAGCUUUACCGACACCCCCUGCACAGACUCCCUGGGCCUGUCCUUUCUAGUACGAGGGAUGAUAAUUGGAUAUUUCGAUCAAUGUAUUAGAAGGCAUUUCAUGGUAUGCCUGUGCAAGUAAUUCCACGUGGCAUGGCUUAGGAGACAGUAAGCUGUUUAUAAGACAGCAGGGGACAGACUGCAGUUCCUAAUUUACUAACUCCUGCACAAGAUCGUUGUUUUCUUUCUUUUUUUAUCGAAACAUGCAAUUAAAUGAACACAGGAUCAUCUGAUAUGCCUGCUCACCAG